rnacentral:lncRNA from 1 species
CUCAAUAGGUCUAAAGCUGAACUCUCCCCUACCUGCCCCAACUCUGACCUAUUUUUCUUCCCAUAUUACCUUUUUCCAUUAAUGGCACACCACCCACCCAGGUGGCCAUAGUAAAAGCUUCUAUUACUUUUGACUCUGUCUUUUUCAUAUCCCAUAGGUCAAGUCCUAGAAAUUCUACUUCUGAAAUAGUGAAACCUCACUGUCUCUUUCAAGCUGUUCCUGACCAACUCAGGCAGAAUCCAGUUCCCCCGUAGCAUUUGGUCAUGCCGAUAGCACAGCAGUAGACACGGGAUUUCACCAUGGUGGCCAGGCGGGUCUGAAACUCCAAACCUCAGGUAAUCCACCCACUUUGGACUCCCAAAGUGCUGGGAUCACAGGCAUGAGCCACUGCACCCAGCCUGAUCACUUCUUUGUGUUGGCAACAUUCAAAUUGACUCCUGGCUUUUUGAAAAUAGUUGUUAGCCAUAGUCACCCUACAGUGCCAUACAACAGAACUUAGUCCUCUCAUCUAGCUGUAACAUUGUUUGCAUUAACCAUCUUCUCACUACUACCUUUCCCCUUACCCUUCCCAGUCUCUAGUAACCACUAUCUACUCUGUACUUACAUGAGAUUAACGUUUUUAAUUUCCACAUAUAAGUCAGAAUAUGCAGUAUUUGUCUUUCUGUGCCUGACUUAUUUCACUUAACACAAUGUCCUCCAAGCUAAUAAUGUUGCUGUGAACGACAGGGUUUCGUUCUUUGUUUAUGGCUGAAUAGUACUCCAGUGGGGUGUGUGUGUGUGUGUGUGUGUGUGUGUACCGCAUUUUUCUUAUUCAUUCAUCUGCUGAUGGACACAGGUUGAUUCCAUAUCAUGGCUGCUGUUGCUGCAAUAAAACUUGGGAGCGCACAUUUCUUUUUGACAUAUUGAUUUCAUUUCCUUUGGAUAUAUACCCAAUAGUGGGAUUUCUGGAUUAUAGGCUAGUUCUAUUUUUUAUUUUUUGAGGAACUCCUAUACUGUUUUCCAUAAUAGCUGUACUAAUUUACAUUCCCACCAACCAUCUACAAUAGUUGCACUUUCUCUGCGUCCUCCCCGGC